rnacentral:rRNA from 1 species
GGGUUGUGAGGUUAAGCGACUAAGCGUACACGGUGGAUGCCCUGGCAGUCAGAGGCGAUGAAGGACGUGCUAAUCUGCGAUAAGCGUCGGUAAGGUGAUAUGAACCGUUAUAACCGGCGAUUUCCGAAUGGGGAAACCCAGUGUGAUUCGUCACACUAUCAUUAACUGAAUCCAUAGGUUAAUGAGGCGAACCGGGGGAACUGAAACAUCUAAGUACCCCGAGGAAAAGAAAUCAACCGAGAUUCCCCCAGUAGCGGCGAGCGAACGGGGAGCAGCCCAGAGCCUGAAUCAGUGUGUGUGUUAGUGGAAGCGUCUGGAAAGGCGUGCGAUACAGGGUGACAGCCCCGUACACAAAAAUGCACAUACUGUGAGCUCGAUGAGUAGGGCGGGACACGUGGUAUCCUGUCUGAAUAUGGGGGGACCAUCCUCCAAGGCUAAAUACUCCUGACUGACCGAUAGUGAACCAGUACCGUGAGGGAAAGGCGAAAAGAACCCCGGCGAGGGGAGUGAAAAAGAACCUGAAACCGUGUACGUACAAGCAGUGGGAGCACGCUUAGGCGUGUGACUGCGUACCUUUUGUAUAAUGGGUCAGCGACUUAUAUUCUGUAGCAAGGUUAACCGAAUAGGGGAGCCGAAGGGAAACCGAGUCUUAACUGGGCGUUAAGUUGCAGGGUAUAGACCCGAAACCCGGUGAUCUAGCCAUGGGCAGGUUGAAGGUUGGGUAACACUAACUGGAGGACCGAACCGACUAAUGUUGAAAAAUUAGCGGAUGACUUGUGGCUGGGGGUGAAAGGCCAAUCAAACCGGGAGAUAGCUGGUUCUCCCCGAAAGCUAUUUAGGUAGCGCCUCGUGAAUUCAUCUCCGGGGGUAGAGCACUGUUUCGGCAAGGGGGUCAUCCCGACUUACCAACCCGAUGCAAACUGCGAAUACCGGAGAAUGUUAUCACGGGAGACACACGGCGGGUGCUAACGUCCGUCGUGAAGAGGGAAACAACCCAGACCGCCAGCUAAGGUCCCAAAGUCAUGGUUAAGUGGGAAACGAUGUGGGAAGGCCCAGACAGCCAGGAUGUUGGCUUAGAAGCAGCCAUCAUUUAAAGAAAGCGUAAUAGCUCACUGGUCGAGUCGGCCUGCGCGGAAGAUGUAACGGGGCUAAACCAUGCACCGAAGCUGCGGCAGCGACGCUUAUGCGUUGUUGGGUAGGGGAGCGUUCUGUAAGCCUGUGAAGGUGUGCUGUGAGGUAUGCUGGAGGUAUCAGAAGUGCGAAUGCUGACAUAAGUAACGAUAAAGCGGGUGAAAAGCCCGCUCGCCGGAAGACCAAGGGUUCCUGUCCAACGUUAAUCGGGGCAGGGUGAGUCGACCCCUAAGGCGAGGCCGAAAGGCGUAGUCGAUGGGAAACAGGUUAAUAUUCCUGUACUUGGUGUUACUGCGAAGGGGGGACGGAGAAGGCUAUGUUGGCCGGGCGACGGUUGUCCCGGUUUAAGCGUGUAGGCUGGUUUUCCAGGCAAAUCCGGAAAAUCAAGGCCGAGGCGUGAUGACGAGGCACUACGGUGCUGAAGCAACAAAUGCCCUGCUUCCAGGAAAAGCCUCUAAGCAUCAGGUAACAUCA